AUGUCCACCUAGUGUAUAACCCAAGACCCUCCAACAUCCAUACAUUGAUCCAACACUUCAACAUCGUACAUAAUCAAUCUCCAUUCACAGUCAUCUAACCAUCAUUUUAAUGUGUAAAAUGGAGAGAAAGGAAUAGAAGUUAUACCGAGACAGAGACUAGAAUCUGAGUGUUGAAAGGUGGCUUGUGUAGAUGAUCCAAAGUAUUUGGCCUCUGCAGUUCAUGGUGAGCCUUCAUUGUGCGGUGGCUUGAAACGAGGCUACUGGUGGCUGUUUGAUGGUAAUGAAGUGAUAAGAAUCAUUUGUGCAAAGUGACUAAAUGGGCCCAAGGUUUGAAACUUGCUGUUGAAAUGAUUGACCUGACGUAAUUGCUGAUAAUUUCCAUGUUCUUGUUUCCUUUUUGCCAUUGUUGUCCAUACCUUAUUCUUGGUGGAAACAUUUUGGCUUCGCUGAUGGAGGAUUCAAAACAGAGGAAAGGGGGUUUUAUGCAUGCUGUUUGAACAGUUUAAGGAAAAUGGAAAGGGAGCUUAGCAGGUUAACCAAUAAGUUGGACCACCUGCUGCUAUGGUUAUUGAUUCUGCUCCUAGUUGAGAUUCAAGACUGCUAUGGCUAGUUAGGGUGAAGAGGAGAAGAUAAUACCUGAUUUUAAAAAUUAAAACACUAGUUAUAGAGGGAAAAAAUGAUGAAGAAAGGAUAGCAAUUAAAACAAACAUUGAGCGACUAGGGGCUGAAAACUGCUGCUGUGAAUUUACAGCAUAACUUCUAGCUUGUUUCUCAUUUGCUACAUGGCAGUUGCGGUUUGACACUUUUGUUGAGGCUGGUUAAUGCUACUAUACGGAACCUUUUAUGGGUGUGUGUGGUCAAUUAAGGCUUACGGAAGUGAAAUAUGAAAGGUGAAGUGCUGGGACAGAUCAUGAAGUAGAAAUUGAAAGGAGCUUCAAGAAACCAAGGUUGGAAGAUAUAGCUGCCACCUACAAAUUGGGCUGGUUCUAUGCCUACUUAAAGCUUAUAUGGUAGCUGAAUGGUGCCUUUACAAAGUAACUUGGGUGGAGCAUCUAACUAUUGUUUGAUGGAAGGGAAAUUGAGUGGUGAAGGGCUGGAUAAACAGCUGCUGCUGUUAUUUUUGUACUGCUGUUGCAGUUCUUGCUGCACUUCUUGGAUGUUAUUUGUUGUCAUGGCCACUAAGUUUUGGUUUUUGUCAUCAUUUAGUAAUGCUAUAGUGAAAAUAGACUAAAGGAAAUGAAGGGAAGGUAAGGAAAAUAAGUACUUUUACUAGGCGUAAAAGAACCAAAAUAAUAGAAGACUACAACUGGAAAUUGGAGAAAGCUGAGAAAUUGCAGCACUGCUGCUUUUUCUGUUUUGCUGUUGUUUAGGUUGCUAGUUUCAGUUCCUACCACUACUAUGCGCUUGUUUAUAGUGUUGUUGAGGUACAGGAAUUUAAUAAACUUAUAGUUGAUGCUAAAAAGAAAGAAGUAUAAGUUGAAGAAAAACUCAAGAGACUAGGGGCUGCAAAUUGCUGCUGUAAUAGCUGUAGAAAUGUUGGGUUUCAGAUGUGCUAUGAUGCAGCCGCUAUUUGACACUUCUAAAGAUUGAUUCUUAUACAAGGGGUCUUGAAUGAUGUGGCCAAUUAUGGCUUGAGAGGAGAAUUUGGAACGGUAAAAGGGCUGGAACAGAUCAUUACAUCUGUUGAGAUUUUCCUUUGGUCAUGCAGCUGCGACUGUUGCUUUUUGCAUUACUCUUAGCUGCUGUUUGUUGUCUCUAUGAAGAGUUAUUUCAAGGGUUUAACACAAAUUCAUGGAGAAUUAAUCAAGCUCAAGAUGAAACUGAAGAGAGGAGAGGAAUGGGACUGAUUUGCAGCAAUUAAAUCAAACCAGACACAUAGUAAGAUAUGGAAACUUCUGAGGGUGCAGUGCACAGGACCGGGGUUUACUUUGUAGGGGUGGGUCCAAAUGGCCCUGCCUUAGAGAGGUUUCCCAAUAUAAAAAAAUAAAUUAAAAAAAAUAAAAAUAAAAAAAUAAAAGCAUAGUAAGAUAGAUGAGAGUUUUUUUUUUCACCUCAAACUUGAACUAGUUUGAGUUGUUUCUCUAACCUUCGAGCUUCCUCCUUUUUCUAUACACUUCACUAUUGUUUUCGUGGUUUCUAUGAAGGUUUUUCUACCUCUUGACGUGGCCUAAAACAAGGGAAUGGUGGAGAGGAUAAGAACUGAACAAUAGAAAGAAAAGAGAGGAGCUGUGUUGCUGUUCCCCCCAGUUCCAGCUACUUAGAACUGGUUUUUGUCUGAGAUUUUAAGGUCAUUUGGUACUCCUAAUGUCACAUAUUGAGGUUGAGUUAAAGAGAUGAGAUAAAGGCAAACUAAGGGGCUAGAAUUUAAGAGGAAUGAGAGCUAAAGUUGCUGAAUUUUCUGCACUAGCUUGUACAGCCAAUAAGUUAGUUGUAUACCUGUUUCAAAACCCCCCUCCUUCAACUAUAAUCCCAACUACACAAGCUAUGAACUAGCGUUGAAGAAAAAAGGGAAAUAAGCAUGAUUUAUGUGUAGACAUAGCAGAAAAACAGCAAUAGAUAGAUAGUUCUUGAUAAACCUGAAAAUUCUAAGAGAAAACUUACUAGUUUGAAUGAAACCUUGGUUGUUUACUUAGUUAUUAGCUUGAGUAGAAGGUAAAAAAUACAUGCUGAUCUCCAAUAGUUUAACAUAAAAAAAUGGAGGCCUAAACAUAAUUGAAAAGUGAUUCAAAUAGAGGAAGAAGUAUAGUUAAAAAUAUAGCAGUAUGUAGAGAUAGCAGAACUUUUUUGUAGAAACUGUACAGCUUGGAACAAAAACAAGGCAGAAAAUCAUCUCACCUCUUCAAGCAGUAGUUUGCACGAAUUAUGCAUGUUUCUACCUUCCCUCCACUUGGUUACACACCCAACUAAACAAAUAUUGGGGGAAAAAUGUAAGGACAGAUGAGGUUGGAAGACACCAUGACAGAAUCUGUUGCAGAAAAUUUCAGAACUUGGAAGUGUGUUGCUGCUAUCUUUUUAGGUGCUGAGCGUGAACUAAGAGAGGGAAAAAUGAUGGAGUUUUAAGCCUGAUCUUAGUCUUCUUACAAAUGAAAUUUAAGCCAAAGUUCCAGCCUUGUAGCGUGAAGAUAUAAGCUAAAAAUGAAGGGGAAACUGCUGCAGCACAAAUAGAAAACAUCACAAAUUUUCUGAUGUACUUUGAGCUCUAACAGGCUGCUGCUGUUGCUUGUUACGUGAAUUUCCCUUGCCAUCCCUUGCUUCAACUGCUAUCAUCCAUUUCAGCUGCCACAUGAUGGGAAAAAUAAGAGGAAAGCAAGAGAGGAAGAGCCAUGGACUUUCGGCUGAAGGAAGUGAAGAUGAUGGGAUCUGUUUUGGGGCUCAAGGUGUCGUCCGAUUUAAUGGACGUAGUCAUGUGUAUUUUCUUCACCUUGAUUUAAUGGACGUAGUCGUUGGAUCAGAUUUUCCGACCUAUUUUCUCUGAUGAUCAUAGAUCACUCAUGUGAGGAACAAGUUUUAAUGGGGAAUUAAAUAAAAAAUCUGUCAAAGAGUGCCCUUCAAAUCUGUGGACGUUAUUGAACUUUGAAAGCUGAAGGGCUAAAUUGCUGAUGCAGUACUCAUGAACAUUCCUAUCAGGAUGAUGCAAGCUAGUGAACUUAUCUUUAAA